ensembl:snRNA U6 U6 spliceosomal RNA
UGCUUGCUUCGGCAGCAACAUAGUAAUAUUGGAAUGGUACAGAAAAGAUUAGCACAGCUCCUGUGCAAGGAUGACAUGGAAAUUCAUGAAGCAUUCCAUUAAAAA